GUUCGGGCGGAUCGUCAUCAUCAGUUCGACGGCGGGGCAGAGGGGCGAGGCUUUUUAUUCGAAUUACGCCGCGUCCAAAGGCGGGCAGAUCGCCUUCGCCAAGUCGCUGGCUAUGGAACUGGCCCCGCACGGCGUCAACGUCAACGCACUGGCCCCCGGCUGGGUCGAGACCGAGAUGACGACGGGUGCGCUCUCGGAGCCGUCCGUGCGGGAGAAGGCUCUGCGGGAAAUCCCUCUGGGACG
rnacentral:misc_RNA from 1 species